rnacentral:lncRNA from 1 species
CAAUUCUGCAGCAACCUCAUAGCAGAGUGCAGCCAAGUGAGUAGUCAUUACCAAUUCUGUUAACUUGUGCAAGAGAUGUAUACUAAAAAAGAUUAUAAAGGACUUCGCCAAAUCUGCAUCAACCCCAAAGCAGAGUGCAGCCUAGUGAGUAGUCAUUACCAAUUUCCCCUGUAUUUGUAUACAUGUGCUCUGUUAACUUGUGCAAGAGAUGAAUAGCAUCAGCCAUCUCUUAUUUCAUUUUUCUCCACUAGUUAUUUGUAUCCUAUAUAAGAUUUCUGAACAGAAACUGUCAUAUGUAAUAUAAGUUUCUUCUAUUGGAGUUUCUUUUUUGAACGAACAACUGUCAAAUGUCGUUGAGUAUCCACUUGGUAUGCU